GACGAACCGGCCAAACGUUAUUCGGAAUCAUUGGGCUUAAAGGGUGCGUAGGCGGCACGGUCAGUUGGGUGUGAAAUCCCUCGGCUCAACCGAGGAACUGCGCCCAAUACUGCCGUGCUCGAGGGAGACAGAGGCGAGCGGAACUGAUGGUGGAGCGGUGAAAUGCGUUGAUAUCAUCAGGAACACCAGUGGCGAAAGCGGCUCGCUGGGUCUCUUCUGACGCUGAGGCACGAAAGCUAGGGUAGCGAAC
rnacentral:rRNA from 1 species